GAUGAACGCUGGCGGCGUGCCUAAUACAUGCCAGUCGAGCGAACAGACGAGGAGCUUGCUCCUCUGACGUUAGCGGCGGACGGGUGAGUAACACGUGGAUACCCUACCUAUAAGACUGGGAUAACCUCGGGAAACCGGCGCUAAUACCGGAUAAUAUAUUGAACCGCAUGGGUCAAUAGUGAAAGACGGUGUUGGUGUCUCUUAUAGAUGGAUCUGCGCCGGAUUGGCUAGUUGGUAAGGUAACGGCUUACCAAGGCGACGAGGCGUAGCCGACCUGAGAGGGUGAUCGGCCACACUGGAACUGAGCCACGGUCCAUACUCCUGCGGGAGGCAGCAGUAGGGAAUCUUCCGCAAUGGGCGAAAGCCUGACGGAGCAACGCCGCGUGAGUGAUGAAGGUCUUCGGAUCGUAAAACUCUGUUAUUAGGGAAGAACAAAUGUGUAAGUAACUAUGCACGUCUUGACGGUACCUAAUCAGAAAGCAACGGCUAACUACGUG
rnacentral:rRNA from 1 species